GACGAACGCUGGCGGCGUGCUUAACACAUGCAAGUCGAACGGAAAGGCCCUGCUUUUGUGGGGUGCUCGAGUGGCGAACGGGUGAGUAACACGUGAGUAACCUGCCCUUGACUUUGGGAUAACUUCAGGAAACUGGGGCUAAUACCGGAUAGGAGCUCCUGCUGCAUGGUGGGGGUUGGAAAGUUUCGGCGGUUGGGGAUGGACUCGCAGCUUAUCAGCUUGUUGGUGGGGUAGUGGCUUACCAAGGCUUUGACGGGUAGCCGGCCUGAGAGGGUGACCGGCCACAUUGGGACUGAGAUACGGCCCAGACUCCUACGGGAGGCAGCAGGGGGGAAUAUUGCACAAUGGGCGGAAGCCUGAUGCAGCAACGCCGCGUGCGGGAUGACGGCCUUCGGGUUGUAAACCGCUUUCGCCUGUGACGAAGCGUGAGUGACGGUAAUGGGUAAAGAAGCACCGGCUAACUACGUG
rnacentral:rRNA from 1 species